ACGGAGGGUGCAAGCGUUAUCCGGAUUUAUUGGGUUUAAAGGGUCCGUAGGCGGGGUAUUAAGUCAGUGGUGAAAGCCUGCAGCUCAACUGUAGAAUUGCCAUUGAUACUGGUACUCUUGAAUAUAAUUGAAGUUAGCGGAAUGUGUCAUGUAGCGGUGAAAUGCAUAGAGAUGACACAGAACCCCGAUUGCGAAGGCAGCUAACUAAGUUAUCAUUGACGCUGAGGGACGAAAGCGUGGGGAGCGAACAGG
rnacentral:rRNA from 1 species